rnacentral:lncRNA from 1 species
ACAAAACUCUUUAGAGUUUUACCCAGUAUUCAUUAUUACAUUGUGGGUGGCUGGAUGGUAUUUCAACCAAGUUUUUGCCACUUGUCUGGGUCUGGUGUACAUCUAUGCCCGUCACCAGUAUUUUUGGGGAUAUUCAGAAGCUCCUAAAAAAAGGAUCACUGGUUUCCGGUUAAGUCUGGGGGUUUUGGCCUUGUUGGCCGUCCUAGGUGCUGUGGGGAUUACAAACAGCUUUCUGGAUGAAUAUCUGGACCUCAAUAUUGCCAAGAAACUGAGGCACUUCUAAAGUGGCCCUCUCCUUUCGCUCAAAUGCCUGCAGAAGAUGUUUCUACUCUGAAGACAUUACAUGUACAUCAGCACCUUAGUAAGAACAAAAACAAAACAAAACCACCUUAUUAAAAUCUACCUCUAUUUACUUGGUCCCAGUACUGAGCAUUUGGAGGAAGCUUCUAAAAGAUAAUGGAGCCCCGCUUCCCCCUCCAUCACCACCUCCAGUUUUCCAUCGUUGCUUAGAGAUUUAUUUCUUGGACCUUUCAGAAAAAGGACAAUGGCUGUGCCACGUGGCCUGCAAACCUGGACAGCAGGAGGGGAGGCAAGGAGGGCUGAGACAAGCCUCACGGCAGUUGCCAGUCGGGGUGGGUGACCCCUCCCGACAGACUUCAGUGAGGUGCCAAGGUGAGCGAAUUACAAAGAGAACAACUCUACAGAACUUCACGAAAGGAUCAUUCUGCCACUGGGAAGGAACCAUCCCUUCCUCCUUUUUAUCAUCAAAAAGUGUGAAGCAGAGCAAUUGAAUUUUCAAUUCCUCAUCUUUCAGGGUUUGAGCUUUGUCUUUCUAGUGAGCAGGGAUGAAGGGCCAGGCCGAUUUUAGGGCCUCACUCCUGGGAGGUUUCCCAAGGGAGCCAGAGCCGGCGCCAUCCAGACCAGUCCCUCCCUGGUUUCCCAGAGGCAUCACGUGCUCAUGUAAACCCACUGCUCAGGAGCAGGGCGGUCACUCAGUGCCAGGCAGAGAACUCCAGUGUCGCUUCCUGCAUAUCAGGCUUGUCUAGGUGCUUCUUGCUUUUAUUUUGCCUCUGCCCAGGCUCCCUGAAGACAAAAGCUUCAUUUCUUCUUGGAUAGUCUGCAAGGAGAAGCAGGGGCAGGCUGCGGUGGGGGUGCUGGCAGACACAGUGUCCAGCUGGGGCCUCCCCAGCCUGUGGCCGCCAGGAGUCGAUGAGAACUGCUGAGAUGUAUCUGGUUGUACCAGGCCCCCAGGAGGCUCCAGCCCAGCUCCCUGCAGCGACGGCCACCAUGGUCACCAGCAGAGGGCUGCCUGCCCAGGACUGCAGGACCUUUCUCCAAGCUCCCUUGGUGAUCCUUGUGAGGCAACGUCUCCAACAUUCCUGAGAGUCAUCAUGGGGGGGAGACAGGCCUGUGGAGCCUGUGUCUUCUGGCGACACCUCUCUGGUCUUCUCGCCUGCCCUCCAAAUCCAGUGGCAUGUCUUGAAGGCCAGCCUUUUCUCGCAGUCAGAGUUCAGUGCGUGCAACCACCCAGCCACCUCAGGGGGGGGCCUCUCCUCCACCCCCGGCUCGCUCGCCUCUGUGUCUCCAGCGCUGUGACCCCUGGACCAGGGCCAGGAGGGGCUGUCAGCCACCGCACGUCAGGCAGCAGUCUGUCUUGGCUGGAGCGGCUCUGCUAGGCCAGGCGAUCGCAGGCAGGGCCAAGCAGAGGGGCCGUGGACUCAUCUCUCCACUUGCCUCCUGUGCGGCUCCCUCUCUUGCAGCGGGAUUGGCAAGGUGUCUGUCUUGAUUGCUGGGUGGAACAAAGCCCAGCAGGGCUGGGGAUUGGUACCUGGACCUUCCACUGUCAGCCGGCUGCAGUUCUGCUCAGUUUACAUGGGUCAAAAAAACAAACAAAAAAAACAAGGAUGAGUCCACAUCCUGUUUCUUUUUCAAGGUGGAAGCUUUAACCACUAGGGUUUUGGCUCUCAGGGUCCCUCUUGACUAGGGGUUUCCAAACAGUUCAUCGAGCUCCUGCAUCCACUCAUCCCCUGGCCCGCCUUUGAUGAUGGAGUCCAUGAGAUCGGCACUGUCCGAGAGGCCUGGGAAGGAAGGCCCAGGGGCAUCGCUGCUGUAAUUGUAUGACAUGUCCUGAGGGGGGUUUCGCUCGUAGGCUUGGCUCUGGCUGCUCGGAGCAAAGCUGCCCCCGGGCAUGGGCUGCUGUGCCGGGGGCUGGCUGAAUGCUGGCAUGCCAGCGACGCCCUGGCUUAGGCCAGACAUGACCAUCGGCCUGGCCUGGCCCGUGCCUUGCUGCCCCGGGAGCGGUGGCAUCAGCUGCCGGCCCAUGGCAGCUGGGUUGAGAGUCCUCACGGUGCCAGUGUUAGCAUCCACCACCUGGCUCAGUCCCUGGGGGAAGUGCUGCUUGGUCAGCCUCGGCUGGCCAGCUUGUAACGGGUAGCUGGUGCCGUUGUUGAAGGAUGUUAAUUCUCCACUAGUCCUCCCGGGCAUUGCCUGUAAGCUCCUCUGUUGCCAGCUCUGUGUCCCCUGCUGGACUGUUCCCAUAAUACUCUGCAGCCUUGGUGGGGCCUGGGGCCUGGGCAAGGUCUGGCCUACAGGCCCCUUCAUCUGCUGGUGCUGUGGGGUAAUGGCAGAGUUCACCAGCAUGCUCUGACCAAAACCACUCACCAUCCCGACCCCUGGCCCUGAGGUGGGCUGCCUCGGCCCCUGGGCUUGGUUGUGGGUGAUACUCAUGCCACUUUGGUUUGGGUGCUGCAACAUCUGGGUCAUUCCUGUGCUCAUAUUGUACAUUCCGGGUUGGCUGGUAGGUGUGGUGCUGUAAGGGGCCAGUCCCAUCUCCGACUGGGCUGCUGCUGUGGCCAUUGUCCCUGGGUUCUGGGAGGGUCCCAUUCCCAUCAUGCCUGCAUUCUGUGCCAUCAACCGUGAUGUUCGCAUGCUCUGGAGGGCUGCCUGGCUUCUCACGGCUGCUAUAUCCUGGGGAGACCCUGCAGGGAAAAAGGACACACCAGUUCACUCAUUUCCAUAAGCAAUGUGACAAGCUGGACUUUUCUUUACAAAUGACAAAUUCCUUUUGUACGAAAGGAUCUACUUUGAUAAUCUUUUAAAAGACUGAUCGGUAUUUUGCUGACUAUAACAUGCUGAUUGUGAAAAAUUUGGAAAAGAGAAGCACAAAGAUGAAAAUUAAAGUCACCUGAAUUCCCACCAUCCAGAGGUGACCACUAUAAACUUAAUAUAUGAAUAGACACAUGAAAAUUAGGAUGAUACACCACACACGCCUUUGUAGUUGACUUUUUCUAUUUGAUAUAGCCUGAUAUUUUUGUUUGCAUUUCAGAAGCAAAUUGAGUGUUCUUGAUAUGAUGCCUUCCUCAACUAGUAAGAUGUCAUUUUUUUUUUUUUUUUUGGAGGCAAGAGGAAAUUCACCUCUUGGGCUAAAUUAGGAAGAAACAGCUGAUCACUUUGCAUGUACCAUUUGUGAAGUGGAACAUGGUUCAGUAGAGAAUACUCUCAAUAAAGACCAUUAGACUAAUUUCCCUUAAGACUUGAGCAGGAUUUGAGAGGUGAAAGGCCACUGCUUCUGCAAGAAGUUAUUUUGACAGAUGGGACAAUUUGUGGAUCCACUCUGUAGCUUUCCCACAUGUUCCAGAUUCUCUGAAUCAUAACAUGUCAGUGUGAACUGGCCACCUUCCUGAGCUAGAAAAAGAGAUCAUCCUGCUACUUGCUACUUGGCAGUGGAUUUUAUGCAUUUCUCCAGCAAAGUCCACUCCUUCAAAUCAGCAAGGACCACUAAAGCAAUUUUAAUGAUGUUGCUUAAAAGUUGGCCAGAGUAUCAAUGCCAAGUCACUCAACUCUAAUUAGACCUUUGAAUGAAUCCUUCUUUACAUGUUUCCAGGAAAUCUCUAAACCAGCAAAGAGAAUAGAAAUGUCACCCUCAGAAGCCCAACAUCGUCAAGGGCUAGGAGGUGCACAAAAAUGGAUUUUUUGGUGUGUCUACUAAUGAUUAAGUCUAUGAAAGAAAAAGUUUUUUUUUUUUGGUUUGUUUUUGGGCUGGACAUUUUUAAAAGGUGCAGCAUGGGAGCCAAUCAAUAUUACAAGCAAAUUUGAUCCUACCUAGAACUGGGAUGAGAAACCAAAUGAGAAUAGUACAACCUUGUUAAGCCUGGCACCUUGGCAGAUAACUGAAGUGUGUUUUUGUCUUCCUGAUGGGGAUAUUGAUUUCUGAGCAGCAAAUACGGCUCCAUAGUUUCUUUCUUAAGAAAGAAAAUUAUGGGUAUCUUGAUUAUGAUUUAAGUUUUUGUGGCUUGAGAUCAAUAUCACCUCGCAUUGAAAAAAUGAAAUGCUUAUUGUGGGGAAACCAGAAAGAUCUGAAAGAGAUCCCUAGAAAUGUUCAAUUUUUUUGGUUUUGAGUUUAAUUAUAUCUCAGUGGAUAUUAAAAAAAAAUCAAAAGUUCCUGAUU